rnacentral:lncRNA from 1 species
AGGUACCACAGCGAGAGAGAACCUGAAUCAGCCACCGUCAGAGAGGCCGAUUAAGCCAAACUACUGCUGCCUAAGCUGCUUCUUGUUAUUUUUCUCUGGGCCAGGUUAAAAGGCACUUGAGAACAAUGGGCCAUCAGCUCUGCCUCCUGUCUGUCUGGGAAGAUGGCUGCCACGGCCGCCAGUCCCAUUCCAUUUCAGCAAUGAGGUGCCACAAGAGGCUCACACACAUAACCCCCGCAAAGAUGGAAAUGAGUGUAUCUCCGCAAAAGGGGAAGCGGAGGGGGUGAGGUGAGGGGGCGGAGGAAGGAGCGCCACAACGCUGUGCUUUGAUGGCCUUAUAUUUCCAAGCUCUGGGAAAGAAGAAUUGGAGCCGCAGAACUCAAUAUAGAGCAGCGAUCUGUGGUUGGGGGAAAUGCGGCACAUCUGCCUUUUAUAGGUUUGGAAUGAAAAAUGUUUUUAAUUAAGGAGUGGAAUUGGGGCUUUUAGUCUUGCUACAUGCUAUGUACCUGUCAGACCUGCUGGAUGGGAAUUUAGCUGUGACCUCUCACCCCCCACCCCCACCACCUACAUUAACCAGAGGACUACAAGAACUCAGAAGAACUCUGAGCACCCGAGAUCGCCUCUGUGCCCUCCUCUGAACAGAAUGGACCUCAGCAUAGAAAAAUCUCUGUUCUACCUGGCGUGGGCCAUUGCAACAGGAUUCCAGCUGCUCUCGGGAGUGAAAGCGAAAGGUGGUCAGUGUCACCAUUGGUCACAAACGGACUCUGCAAGUCAAGAAGACUUAGGGGAGCCAACAUAGCUAUAAUGACUAUAAAAACCCAGCAAGGAUUUUUUUUUUAAAGCUAUGAAGCAAAACAAUCUCAGAAAUGGUAAUGUUCUGUCAGCAAAACAAACCAUCUAAGGAAGGAAUCUUCAUGCCCACCCUGUGGGUCCGGCUCUUAAGAUGGUGGCCUGAGAUGCCAUUUACAAGGGGCUGGGCUGCUCUUCCUGGGAUCUCUACGGAGGGAGAAGGACCUGCACUGAGAUGCCCCUGCUCUCUCUUCUCUCUCCCCAUGGUCAGGUCAACCACACAGUUAUCCCAACUGGGUUUCUGGGCUCCUUUAUUUUCACAAAUGCCUCCAGCUCUAAGGUAUGACAUCAGGGCCCCUUACUCUCUAAGGAGUGGACCAGCGCUACUCCUUUUGGAUCUUCCAAGAGGAGGGUGGUCUCC